rnacentral:rRNA from 1 species
CAGUCGCCGCGGUAAUGCGUAGGGUGCGAGCGUUAAUCGGAAUUACUGGGCGUAAAGCGUGCGCAGGCGGUUGUGUAAGACAGGUGUGAAAUCCCCGGGCUUAACCUGGGAACUGCGCUUGUGACUGCACAGCUAGAGUAUGGCAGAGGGGGGUGGAAUUCCACGUGUAGCAGUGAAAUGCGUAGAGAUGUGGAGGAACACCGAUGGCGAAGGCAGCCCCCUGGGCCAAUACUGACGCUCAUGCACGAAAGCGUGGGGAGCAAACAGGAUUAGAUACCCGGGUAGUCCCUGUCUCUUAUAC